AUGACAGCCCCAGCACGCCAGCCAAACUGCAGGGCUUGAUCUUGGUGGCUUGGCCAGGUCACAGCUUAAAUAAAGACAUUCCUGGAAGUUAGGAGAGGGGUUGCCAUUCAGAAAUGUUUUGUAACUGUUGAUUAAAACCAGAAACAAAUUUUAAAGAAUGUUUAGCACCAGGAACAUAGUCAUGUUUAUUCCUGUACUUAUCAUGGAUUGAUGAUUCUAGUGUUUAAAAAGAUCAUGUGUACAGUCUCCUAGGGUUGAUUUUUUUUUUUAAUUUUUAUUUUAUGUAAGUACACUGUAUCUGUCUUCAGACACUCCAGAAGAGGGCGUCAGAUCUCGUUAUGGAUGGUUGUGAACCACCAUGUGGUUGCUGGGAUUUGAACUCAGGACCUUCGGAAGAGUGGUCAUUGCUCUUAAUCACUGAGCCAUCUCACCAACCCGAUUUUAUUUUUACUUUUUAAUUUUCUUUUGCUUUUUGUUAAGUUUUGCUUAGCAAAAAUGGCAACUGCCAAGUACAUCAUUCUCUGAUAUUUAUCGGUUUGUUUGUUUGUUUGUUCAUUUGUUUGUUUCUUUUGAGACAUGCCCUUCCUUACUCUGUAGCCCUGGCUGGCCUUGAAUAUGUAGUAAUCCUCCUGCCUCUGUGUCCUAGUGCCCAGAUUGCAGGUGUAUACCACCAUGUGCAGCUCUCGUCCUUGAACUUUAACACACCUGUUUCAUACCAUAUGGGAAGGGAGGCAUGACUCACAGGCUAAGGCAAAACUAACUUGAGCCAGAACCAAAACAAAGCCCUUAGAAAGAAAGAUCUCUCUCUCUCUCUCUCUCUCUCUCUCUCUCUCUCUCUCUCUCUCUCUUUCUUGUGAAGUAUUGAAAGGUAAGUCAGGGUUCAAUGGCUCAGGAAGAUUGCUAGAACUUUAAGGUCUGCCUGGGCUAUAUAGUGAGUUCCACAUUAUCCUGGGUUACAGUCAGAGUGUCUCAAAUCUCUCUCUCUCUCUCUCUCUCUCUCUCUCUCUCUCUCUCACACACACACACACACACACAAUGUUGGGUAAAUCUAAGCAAGUAAAUGGAAAUCAAAGAAGAAAAACACAACCCUGUCUCAUUUACCAUAUUUUCUAACUUAAAAAUAUAGAACAAUUUAUUUUUAUUAUUUUAAGUUGUGUGUGUAUGUGUGUGUGUGUGCGCGCGCAUGCAUACUUAAUGGCAAUUGCCCUUGGCGACCCGAGGCAUUGGAUCUGGAGCUAGAGUACAGCUGGUUGUGAACUGCUCAGUACAGCUGCUGGGAACUGACCUCGGAUCUUUUGGAAGAACAGCAAGUGUGUAUAACUGCUAAGCCAUCUCUCCAGUCCCUGAUUUAGACUUUUAAAACCAACCUUUAUUUCUGCACUUUAUGCUAUCUAGAUCAUCCAUCUUCCUCCUUCAUUAUUAUACAUUUCCCAUGGUAUUGUAAGUUCUAAAAUAUUAUUGAGAUUAUUAUUGGUUUAACCAUUUGGCUAUAUGUAGUUUUCUGUAUUUUUCC
rnacentral:lncRNA from 1 species